rnacentral:rRNA from 1 species
ACGGGGGGUGCAAGCGUUGUUCGGAAUCAUUGGGCGUAAAGGGUGCGUAGGCGGGCCCUUAAGUCAGUGGUGAAAGUUUGCAGCUUAACUGUAAAAUUGCCAUUGAAACUGAGGGUCUUGAGUGUAAAUAAGGUAGGCGGAAUGUGUUGUGUAGCGGUGAAAUGCUUAGAUAUAACACAGAACACCAAUUGCGAAGGCAGCUUACUGGGAUACAACUGACGCUGAGGCACGAAAGCGUGGGGAUCAAACAG